CGGAUUGUAGUCUGCAACUCGACUACAUGAAGCUGGAAUCGCUAGUAAUCGCGGAUCAGAAUGCCGCGGUGAAUACGUUCCCGGGUCUUGUACACACCGCCCGUCACACCAUGGGAGUCAGUAACGCCCGAAGCCGGUGACCCAACCUAAACAGGAGGGAGCCGUCGAAGGCGGGACGGAUGACUGGGGUGAAGUCGUAACAAGGUAGC
rnacentral:rRNA from 1 species